AUUGAACGCUGGAGGCGUGCUUAACACAUGCAAGUCGUGCGAGAAAGGGACUUCGGUCCUGAGUAGAGCGGCGCACGGGUGAGUAACGCGUGGGUAAUCUCCCUUGGUGACCGGGAUAACAGCGGGAAACUGCUGCUAAUACCGGAUAAUCUUCAUGUUUAACUUCAUGGGGUAAAGGUGGCCUCUGCUUGCAAGCUACCACACCGAGAUGAGCCCGCGUCUCAUUAGCUAGUUGGUAGGGUAAUGGCCUACCAAGGCUACGAUGAGUAGCUGGUCUGAGAGGAUGACCAGCCACACUGGGACUGGAACACGGCCCAGACUCCUACGGGUGGCAG
rnacentral:rRNA from 1 species